AACUUGUAUAACAUUUUUGUAUAAUCCAUACAGAGGAGGCAUACAUUAAGUGUCCUCUUUUUUGGAAAUCAAAAUAUGGUCACCCUAAUUAAUGUCCAGUAACAUUAGCUGUUAAAACAUAAUCUUUGUGCUGCUGGUUUGUAAUACCCUUCUUACUAUUUCUGUGUUGUUUGUGAUGACAGGGCAGUCAUGGUGAUAAUAUUUUGCGAUCAGCCCACCGCUUAGUUCAAUUACUCAGUUCGUCUGGUCAAGGUGCAGCCAGUGGUGGCAUCACAAAUCAACAUAACAGGUUUAGUAUUAAACUUUAAUUCAUGUACAUAUGGCUUAUUUUAUUUAUACAUUGUAGAUGUAUUGAUGAUUAAUACAUGUUCUUGGAUACAAUCCUGCAGAGAACAGAGACAGACAGAAUCACUUCAAACGGAAAUGACCAGGUAUUUUCACCAGGGGCAGAGGGAAGAGGCGCUUUCCCACAGCAAGUCCUGUUCCUGCCAAGAGAUCUAAACCAUUGGAUGUGGUUUUCUAUUUGUUGCCAAAGCAAUGUGAAAAAACCCCAAAAGAGCAGGAGCAAUUAGUCCAUAUGCGUGCAGGACUGGGCCGUAGGACUGGGCCGUAGGACUGCUCGUUUAGAUGAAAGCACAACACAUGAAGAGUUAUGUGAUGCCCUCAAAGUUUUAUUCCCAAAAUUGGGAACAGUUACUGGUGGAUGGCUGCUAUACAAAUCUUCAGGCUGGUUAACUGUCAGUGACCCCACCAAGGCCAUAUCUCAGUGUGCUGAAAGUUUCCGACGUAUUCAUGAAGCAAAGAGUCCCUUACUUCUCA